AUGGGUCCUGCCGUUCUCUACUUCCUUGUGCUUGCGGCUGCAGCACCCUUGCACUUGGCGGCGCAAACCUUGGCUGAUUCCAUGGCGAAACCCUCGACGGUUUGGAUCAACAACGACAUUUUUCUCCGCGACCGCAUCAACGGCCUCCGCACCAUCAUCACCCGACCAGAAACUCAAGCUCGCCAUGACUCCGACCUUAACGUUGCCGCAGGGUUCAUAUGUGUCUCCCAUCAGUCACCGUGCAACGAUUUCCUCUUUGCGGUAUUCAUUGUGAGCAUCAAUCGAAUCGAUGCCAAAGAUAGACAAGAUGCGCAGGUGGUCUGGUCUGCCAACCGGGCUCGCCCUGUCAGGGAGAAUGCAACCCUUGAGCUUACCUCUGAUGGGAACCUGGUCCUCCGCAAUGACGAUGGUAGCCCUGUCUGGUCCAGCGGCACCUCAGGACGGUCUGCAGCCAGCAUGGUGAUGACAGACAUUGGCAAUCUUGUGUUGUUCGAUCAGAGGAAUGCAAUAGUGUGGCAGUCAUUUGAUCAUCCUACCGACACAUUGCUCCUUGGGCAGUCACUUCUGAAAGGUAUGAAGCUGAAAGCAAGUACCUCUGCAACAAAUACAACUGAGAAUCAAUUGUAUAUCACUUUAGCCGCGUACGGGUUAUGUGCUUAUGUUGAAUCCACACCGCCACAACCCUACUACUGUUCAUCACUGGUACCCAGCGUCAAGAAAGGAAAUGAUCCAACAAAUGUUACAUUCAUGGAUGGAAGCCUCAUCUUCUUUGUGCAGUCAGAUUAUCAUGAUCAAAUCUUCUGGCCAACCACUACAUCCACCCAGCAGUACAUGACAUUAGAUUCAGAUGGACAUAUGAGAGUGUAUGAAUGGUCUGAUAGAAAAUGGAGAGUGAAUUAUGAUUUAAUGCAGAUAGAUGAUUGCGCUUACCCAAAAGUCUGCGCGGACUACGGCAUAUGCAGCCAGGGGCAAUGUACUUGUCCACUUCAAAACUAUUCUACUUUAGACUACUUCAAGCCGGUGGAUGAGCGGAAGGCAAAUCUUGGUUGCACGCCAACAACUCAAAUAUCUUGUCAAGAAAUACAACACCAUCGGCUCUUGACACUUAAUGAUGUUUCUUACUUUGAUAACAGCCAUGAGGUUAUGAAUUUAGACGAAGAUGACUGUAAGCAGGCCUGCUUGAAGAACUGCUCAUGUAAGGCCGUUAUGUUCAGCUAUAACCGAUGUACCUGGAUGGUAAACGUCUUUUCCUUGCAAGCAAUACAACCUGUAGCCAACUUAAGUUCCUCUGUUUACCUCAAGGUGCAGCUUAGCCCCUCCAUUACUGCAUCUACUUCAAACAAAACAAAAUUAAUGUUAGUUGCUACAUUUGGAGCUAUUGCCACUCUUGUAUUGCUUGUCAUUGUUGUCACUCUUUAUCUGCGAAGGAGAAUGAAGUACGAAGACAAAGACGAGGAAUUUGAUUUAGAUCAAUUUCCUGGAAUGCCAGCAAGGUUUUCUCUUGAGAAGUUGGCAGAAUGCACUGAAGGAUUCGAUAAGAAACUCGGAGAAGGUGGGUUUGGGUCAGUUUUUGAAGGGAAAUUAGGUGAAGAUAGAAUUGCUGUAAAACGUUUGGAAGGUGCUAGACAGGGAAAGAAAGAAUUCUUGGCAGAGGUCGAGACCAUUGGAAGCAUUGAACACAUCAAUCUUGUCAAACUGAUUGGAUUUUGUGCAGAGAAGUCGGAAAGGCUUCUAGUAUAUGAAUAUAUGUCAAGUGGGUCGCUUGAUAGGUGGAUCUAUUACCGUCAUAACAACAACGCUCUUGAUUGGCGCACUCGUUUUAGGAUCAUAUUGGAUAUUGCCAAGGGCCUGUGUUAUCUUCAUGAGGAGUGCAGGAGAAAAAUUGCUCAUCUGGACAUCAAACCACAAAAUAUUCUCUUGGAUGAGAACUUCAAUGCCAAAGUAGGCGAUUUUGGACUAUGUAAGUUAAUAAAUAGGGAUCAAAGCAAGGUAGUGACUAUGAUGAGAGGAACACCCGGAUAUCUUGCACCUGAAUGGUUGACGUCACGGAUCACUGAAAAAGUGGAUGUCUACAGCUUUGGAGUUGUUGUGAUGGAAAUAUUAAGUGGUAAAAAUAUUGACCAUUCUCAGGCUGAGGAGGAAGUUCAGCUCAUAAAUAUAUUGCGAGAAAAAGAACAAAACAAUCGAUUGAUUGAUCUGAUCGACAAACAUAGUGACGAUAUGGUGUCACACCAUGAGGAAGUGAUUCAAAUGAUGAAGCUCGCAAUAUGGUGCCUGCAAAAUGACAGCAGACGGAGGCCUUCAAUGUCAACAGUGAUCAAGGUAUUGGAUGGUGCAGUGACCAUAGAAACUUUUGAUGCAAAUUCAAUCAUGUUUGUUCAAGAUAAUCCAUCCACAUAUUCAGGUCCAUCUCAAGCAUCCAUAUUAUCAGGCCCAAGGUGA
rnacentral:rRNA from 1 species